UGCUUGUCUCAAAGAUUAAGCCAUGCAUGCCUAAGCGUGAACUAAAUUAAAGUGAAGCCACGAAUAGAUCAUUACCACAGCCGUUGUUUCUUGGAUCUCCGUAAUACUUGGAUAACUGUGGUAAUUCUAGAGCUAAUACACGCAAUCGAGCUCCGACCGUAAGGAACGAGCGCAUUUAUUAGAACAAAACCAAUCAGUGCUUGCACUGUGGUUUGGUGAAUCUGAAUAACUGAGCAGAUCGCUACGGUCUUGUACCGGCGACGUAUCUUCAAGUGUCUGCCUUAUCAACUUUCGAUGGUAGUUUAUGUGCCUACCAGGGUUGUAACGGGUAACGGAGAAUUAGGGUUCGACUCCGGAGAGGGAGCCUGAGAAACGGCUACCACUUCCRAGGAAGGCAGCAGGCA
rnacentral:rRNA from 1 species